rnacentral:rRNA from 1 species
GACGAACGCUGGCGGCGUGCCUAAUACAUGCAAGUCGAACGCACUCUCGUUUAGAUUGAAAGGAGUUUGCUCCUGAUUGAUAAACAUUUGAGUGAGUGGCGGACGGGUGAGUAACACGUGGGUAACCUGCCCUAAAAGUGGGGGAUAACAUUUGGAAACAGAUGCUAAUACCGCAUAAAACCUAACACCGCAUGGUGUAAGGGGUUGAAAGAUGGUUUCGGCUAUCACUUUAGGAUGGACCCCGCGGUGCAUUAGUUAGUUGGUGAGGUUAAAAGGCUCACCAAGACCGUGAUGCAUAGCCGACCUGAGAGGGUAAUCGGCCACACUGGGACUGAGACACGGCCCAGACUCCUACGGGAGCAGCAGUAGGGAAUC